rnacentral:ribozyme from 15 species
AACACAUUCAGAAAAGCAUGUUAUACUUGUUUUCGGUUUUGUUUUUCCUUUCUUUUUUUUUUUCUUUUUAAUUCUUCUUUUGUAAUU